rnacentral:rRNA from 1 species
CCUACGGGUGGCAGCAGUGAGGCAUAUUGGUCAAUGGACGAGAGUCUGCACCAGCCAAGUAGCGUGAAGGAUGACUGCCCUAUGGGUUGUACACUUCUUUUAUAUGGGAAUAAAAUGUUCCACGUGUGGGAUUUUGUAUGUACCAUAUGAAUAAGGAUCGGCUAACUCCGUGCCAGCAGCCGCGGUAAUACGGAGGAUCCGAGCGUUAUACGGAUUUAUUGGGUUUAAAGGGAGCGUAGGUGGAUUGUUAAGUAAGUUGUGAAAGUUUGCGGCUCAACCGGAAAAUUGCAGUUGAUACUGGCAGUCGUGAGUACAGGAGAGGUGGGCGGAAGUCGUGGUGUAGCGGUGAAAGGCUUAGAUAUCACGAAGAACUCCGAUUGCGAAGGCAGGUCACUGGACUGCAACUGACACUGAGGCUCGAAAGUGUGGGGAUCAAACAGGAUUAGAUACCCUUGUAGUC